AUUGAACGCUGGCGGCAGGCUUAACACAUGCAAGUCGAACGAGUGGCGGACGGGUGAGUAAUGCUUGGGAAUCUAGCUUAUGGAGGGGGAUAACUAAGGGAAACUGUAGCUAAUACCGCGUACCAUAGGAUGAGCCCAAGUGGGAUUAGGUAGUUGGUGAGGUAAAGGCUCACCAAGCCGACGAUCUCUAGCUGGUCUGAGAGGAUGACCAGCCACGCAGAGACUUAUACACGGCCCAGACUCCGACGGUAAACUGCAGUAUGGUAUAUAGCAAAAUAGGCGCAUACCUGUUUCAGCCAUGCAGCGUGUAUGAAGAUGACCUUAGGGUUGUAUAGUGCUUUCAGCGGGCAGACGUUACCCUCAAAUGAAGCACCGGCUGACUCCGUGCCAGCAGCCGCGGUAAUUC
rnacentral:rRNA from 1 species